rnacentral:rRNA from 1 species
GGUUAAGCGACUAAGCGUACACGGUGGAUGCCCUGGCAGUCAGAGGCGAUGAAGGACGUGCUAAUCUGCGAUAAGCGUCGGUGAGGUGAUAUGAACCGUUAUAACCGGCGAUUUCCGAAUGGGGAAACCCAGUGUGUUUCGACACACUAUCAUUAACUGAAUCCAUAGGUUAAUGACAUAGGUUAAUGA